UGGGGAAUUUUGGACAAUGGGCGAAAGCCUGAUCCAGCAAUGCCGCGUGUGUGAAGAAGGCCUUCGGGUUGUAAAGCACUUUUGUCCGGAAAGAAAUCCUUGGCUCUAAUACAGUCGGGGGAUGACGGUACCGGAAGAAUAAGCACCGGCUAACUACGUGCCAGCAGCCGCGGUAAUACGUAGGGUGCAAGCGUUAAUCGGAAUUACUGGGCGUAAAGCGUGCGCAGGCGGUUUGCUAAGACCGAUGUGAAAUCCCCGGGCUCAACCUGGGAACUGCAUUGGUGACUGGCAGGCUAGAGUAUGGCAGGAGGGGGGUAGAAUUCCACGUGUAGCAGUGAAAUGCGUAGAGAUGUGGAGGAAUACCGAUGGCGAAGGCAGCCCCCUGGGCCAAUACUGACGCUCAUGCACGAAAGCGUGGGGAGCAAACAGGAUUAGAUACCCUGGUAGUCCACGCCCUAAACGAUGUCAACUAGUUGUUGGGGAUUCAUUUCCUUAGUAACGUAGCUAACGCGUGAAGUUGACCGCCUGGGGAGUACGGUCG
rnacentral:rRNA from 1 species